GGGGAAUGACAAGAUAAAUUGAAGAAGAAACCAGGCACAUGAACAUUUUGCUGGCCUGUAUUCCUUUACAAACUCACAAGAGUAGCUUCCUUUUGUAGAGUCUCCCUGAUUCUAUAUUGCUCCUUUCUUGUCUCGUCGACCAUGAUAUAUACACGAGCCUCCUCUUCAACUGAGUACAAGCAGCCUAUGAUGACACAAACUGAGUACUGAGCGCCAGUGCGCGACUCUGCCCUGGAGUAACACUCCUUUCUAAAACUUGGAAUGCAUCCAUAAAUAUUAGGAAUGCAACCC
rnacentral:lncRNA from 1 species